GGGGUGUUACUUAGUUUUGUUUAGGGCUUAGCCUAUAAAUAGAUAUGUAGAGAGCCAUUGAGGGGCAUCUACAGUUAUUCCAGAGUUGUGUUAUUUUGUCGGCCGUAAGGCUUGGGCGGCGCUUGUGCCAAUUUCGCUCCUUAGAUCUUGUGUUCUAGGACUUGGGCUAGUGUAGAUUCAUCAAUCUCCACUAGAUUGGGCUAGAAAGAGAUCUCUUUAAUCUCUUGCUAGAUUUCUUUUGCUUUCUUUGUUCUUGUUCUUCGUUCUUCCAUUUAGUGGAAUAUAAAUCAAGUUUGCUUUCAUUGUUGAUCUUUUUCUUGAGUUAUUCCACAGGCGUUGCCUACAAUCGGUCCAUCAUCAUCGUUUUUGAAGGCACACGCAAGAAGCGCAAAAAAAAGGGGCUUGGUGAGGGGCUUUGGACCGUGAGCCCCCAUCACUUGGCCUGCGUGUGCGCCUAUUUGCUUUUGCCCCUUUUGGCCGCCUAAGGCUUGGUCAGCCCCUAGGCUCAUCAGUUACCCGAUCUGGUCCCCGAGUGUUGCCUGAACCUCGCCUGGCUGAGUGCCAUGGCUAUAUGGUUUUCGGCGAUUUCCAUCAGAGACCUGAGGGAUCAUGUCUCCAUUGAUCCACUUGAGCACCACUUUCAGAAUAGUACUAUGUUUCAGGUUCCAAAGAAGAGAGAGAGAG
rnacentral:lncRNA from 1 species